rnacentral:rRNA from 1 species
GACGAACGCUGGCGGCGUGCCUAACACAUGCAAGUCGAGCGAGAAUCUCUUAACGGAUCCCUUCGGGGUGAAGAUAAGAGAGGAAAGCGGCGGACGGGUGAGUAACGCGUGAGUAACCUGCCUUCAGGAGGGGGACAACAUUCCGAAAGGGAUGCUAAUACCGCAUGACAUUACAGAGUCGCAUGAUUUUGUAAUCAAAGAUUUAUCGCCUGAAGAUGGACUCGCGUCUGAUUAGAUAGUUGGUGAGGUAACGGCUCACCAAGUCGACGAUCAGUAGCCGAACUGAGAGGUUGAUCGGCCACAUUGGGACUGAGACACGGCCCAGACUCCUACGGGAGGCAGCAGUGGGGGAUAUUGCGCAAUGGGGGCAACCCUGACGCAGCAACGCCGCGUGAAGGAAGAAGGUUUUCGGAUCGUAAACUUCUUUAAAGUGGGGAAGAUAAUGACGGUACCCACAGAAUAAGCCAGGCUAACUACGUAG